AAAACCAAGCAGAAGGGAAUAACAUUCCACAGUUUCCCAAAAAACACAGAUAGGAGACGGGCAUGGGUAGCAGCAGUGAGGAGAAAGGACUUUGUCCCGAGUGACUCCUCAGUCAUCUGCAGCUGUCACUUCAGACCUGAGGACUUCGACAGGACUGGGCAGAC